GCAUUUCACCUGUGAGAAUGCUCGCCUGCCACGCGGGCAGCCCGGGUUCGAUUCCCGGUCGAUGCA
rnacentral:tRNA from 1 species